GGUGGCGUAGUUCAGUUGGUUAGAAUAUUUGCCUGUCACGCAAAUGGUCGUGGGUUCGAGUCCCAUCGUCAUCGCCA
rnacentral:tRNA from 1 species